CUUUGCUGUGUUGUUGUUAUUAUUAUUAUUUAUUUUGCCAUGAAUUCUCAAAUACAAAGCUUUGCAAAGAGCCUUCUCAACAUCCUGAAGCAGAAUGUGACAGCUUACCUGUUUGCUGGAUAAAAGGAGUCUCCUCAGUGUGAGCCUGCCUAGAAAUUUCCCCUGCAAACUCACUCAUAUUAAGUACAGCCUUGCAGGUUGAAGCAAAGGCAGGAGGAACAAAACAUUUGCCUGACUUGAAAAAGCAAAGACAAAAGAAGAGCACUCUGCUUUUGUUCCUGCGAUUUGCUGAGGUGACAGACGUCAUUUUUGCACGAUGAGUACUGGGUCCUACUGCUGCAGCUGAACACACCAGGAGGGGAAGCUGGGAUGAGACUCAUGCUGGAUCAAGCAAAGCAGCGCCUGUGUUUUCUGGAUACAUCUAUAGUGUGAUUUGGCUGUCCUGCCUGCUUGGAUGCCUGAGCUGCAGGGAAUGACAUCUGAUGUGUGGAAGGAGGAUCCACUCUGUGAUUUUCCCAAGCACAGAUGUGAGGCUCACCAGCCUGCAGUUCCCUGAGACUUCCUCUCUCCCCUUCUUGAAUAUGGUGUUUCCAUUUUUCCAGUCACUGAGAACUUUGUCUGACAGCCACAGUUUUUCAGAUGUGAUGGAGAGCAGCUUGGCAACCACAUCAGACAGUUUCUUCAGGACUGAGAUGGAUCUCAUCUGGCCCUAUGGACUUCUACACAUUCAGCCUCAUGAGGUGGUCUCGGACUUGCUCCGCUCUUAGACUGGGAGGGAUUUUGUUCCCCUCACCUCCACCUAGAAGUUCAGGGACACCAGAGGUAUGCGAAUCCUGAGUGAUUGUGAAGAACAAGGAAAAGAACUCAUUAAGCACCUCAGCCUUCUCCAUGUUUGAGGGGCAAGGGUAGAGGCCUCCUGGUUGCACCUUGUGCAAUUGAGUCUGAUCUCUGGGAGAAGGCACUCUCCUUCCACUGUCUCUUUUACUCCAAGAGGGAGAGAUGGAAUCGUGUCAUGGAAUGUUGCCUCUGUCACAGAAAGAUGUGCCAAAGCCUCUGGAGGCUGAGGAACCAUUGUUCUGUUUAGCAUCUUCUAGGCACAGCAGUGAAUGGACAUCGAUAUGUUGCCGAUACAAUUUCACAUUGCUGUGGACAACACCUGCCUGCUAAUACAAGAGGCAAUUUGAUGCAACAAAGCCAUAAUUCAGUUCAGUGUGGUCUACAUAGUGUAACGAAGUGUGGAGCUGGAGCUGGAGCCAUGUAUUACCUUUCCAAGGCUGGCGGUGGGAAGAAAACAGGGCUUGCGCUGUGGGCAUCCUCGUCCUGAGCAGCACAUCUGUAAGCUGGGCUGGGGAAAGAAUCUGAGCUAAAAGCUGCCCUCUUAUGGCCUUUUAUAGUCACUAAACGGAGUUCUUCUAGGUGGUUGGAGAAGUGGGUGAAGAGCUGGGUAUUUCUUACAGCAGCCUGGACAACCAGCACGUCAUCAUUCUGGUCCCUGCCACAGCUCUCUCGUGCUUCUGUGAAAACCCUCCAGUUUUCCUGGCACAGAGUAAAGCUUACAGCAGGCGUGCUGCCUUUGCAGAACAUGCAUGACUGGAGCAGCUCCUACAUCCAUGCAAGUGAUAGGGAGGAGACCUGCAGUCAGAGGAGAUAUGGUGGAUUACCUACUCCCGAGGAAACUCCUUUGACUGCAUCAUUUAGGAUUUAUCUUCCCACUGUACUGUGUUGUUUCCUAAGAAGGAUGACAGCCCCUGGGCCACAUCCUUGGGUCAAGCCCCCCUGUGGUUAUUGGCAAGGGAAGGACUUUAAAAUCAUUGCUUCCCCUGCAUGAAGUCUCCUUUGGGAUUGGAAUUCUCCUUUGAUUGAGCGGGAUACCUGCAAACGGCACAAACUUUUCACAAACCCAAAGCCCUAACCUGCCUGGAAAAUAAAAGUGACCUGAAUUAACCAUCCACGUAAGGUUCAGCUCUACUCAUGGACUGCCACAGGCUGUUUUCUUGUGCCACCUGGUUAUGGCCCAGAGACAAACCUCACAUUUGGGUUUAGGGGACCCAGGGGACCUGGCAUCAUUUGGGGCCAUCACUUGGCAAUGCACUGUCUGUUCCCUCCGUUUCCAUCCUGGUCCCUGUCCUUUACCAUCAGACAUCAGAUUUUGAGUCUAACCUGAGCACACAUUCAGAAAUGACGCAUUUCCAUGCUGCACCUAUUUAGCGUGCAACUUGAUUCCCAGACAUUUGUAUUCAGGCGUUCAAUCUGUAAGAACAGAAAGCUGGUGCACAGAGUAGAAAAGCCAAGCAAUGCAGGCUGACCAGCAGGGUGCUUGGUUGCUGCUGGGCAAGUGGCAGCCUUCUGCCUGUGAGCUUCUCUGACAUGGGGCAGAGUGUAAAUCAGCAAGGAUGAGAGCAGGAAAGAGCAGAGAACUUGCUAUGGAGGUGAAGGGAUGUAAGUUAGGAGCAAGCAACUGCAAAAACUAUUGUGUUAGGCUUUGUCAGCUCCUCCUUCACCCAGCUGACAGCAUUUUCGUGCCAGCAGUGACUUCCAUCUCCCACCCAACCCAAGCUGCGUUUUGCCUGUGGCAUUUACACAUUUGUGCUGGUACAAAGCUGUCACAUCCCCAUCUAUCUCCACCUCAUGAGUGGAGAUAGAUGCCUGCUCAUCGUGCAUCGUCUCAUGCAUGAUGAGCAGGCAGGGUGGGCUGCAGGAAAGGCAGAGCAAUGAGCUUUAAUAUUCUCCGUUUCUCUUAGCAUGGUGCAGCCAGGAGACUGCUUCUUGGAGCCAACUGCAGAGUUUAUCCAGCCCAGACUUCCGAGAAGAGGGAUAAAUUAACCACCCAACCAUAUCCCCUACAGAUCCUUCUCAGUUUGAAAAGGAAUCCGAUCACAGCAUCAUGACGUGGGAAGCAGAAGAGAUAUUUGCAUUUCAGUGACCCCUUUGCCUGACUCGUGACGACUUAGGGCCAUGCAAAGAAACACCACCAACAACAAAAAUCCAUGCCCUAAACAGCGCUGAGAACUCACCAAGCCUGCGCUUGCAGUCAGUUCCACCUUAGCUCGGCUCUUGCUCUUGUGCUCUUGCAUCGCUAGGGGGAAGCGUUUGCCUGCUAUAUGGGCACGCUGCCGGCUCGGGUCGGUUCCUGCUGUCCCCGCACGGUGACAGCUCGCCCCGGCUCGCCUCUGCCUUGCAGAGAGGGCACGGCUGGCACCGCAACUCCCGGUCACUGCUUAUUUUCCUGGUUCACACCACGAGGACAGAAAACUGCCGCUAAUAGCGCCCGGCAAAGAUAAAUAGACUGCUCUUUUCUAAUCAAGUUUUACAUGGGUGACAAAAGCUAUUUUGCACAGCAUUGCACUGCCUUGCCUGGCAGUGGGAGAAAUCCCUGCCUGUAUGGCCACGGCAAAUGCACACAGAGGCAAUCACCUGAAGGCUCUGGUAUGCCCGUUGCCUGAUAUACCUCUCUCGAAAUUGGUGCCUGGGGCCAUCAUUUAGUAGAACAAUUUGGAAAGGCUCUUGCCUUUUUGGUGGAUAUUGCAGGCAUUGAGACAUGCCAUGGUGACAGGAGGAUGGUGGCAGGAAUGGGUAAUAUGGCUCCCAAGCACUCUUGCUCUCCUAGCUGUUUUUUAGCUCCUGGAGUUUCCAAUCCUCCCCCUGGGCCCAGCAUCCAUCACCUCCUUCCUCGAGGAGCUGCAUCUUGAGGAGCCACCAGCAUUGCUCCUUCUAGCUCCAUCUGAUUCCUAUCUGGAAACAUCCUGUCUGUGCAUAGGAGGCAACAUCUUCCCACUGAUGAAGGGCAAAGAAACAAACCCAAAAGCUUAGUCUUUCAAAAGGCCACAUCUAAAUUGCCCAUAGGAGGGAGGUGAGAGCCCAGAUUUGCUGCUGUGAGGAUGGGAGCUCCUGAGCCACUUCCAGCUGUCCCGAGAACAGGCUGCCCAGGGAGGUGAUAGAGUCAUCAUCCCUGGAGGCGUUCAAGUGACAUGGAGAUGUGGCACUGAGGGACGUGGUCAGUGGGCAUGGUGGGAGUGGACUGCUGCUUGGACUAGAUGAUCUUCUAGGUCUUUUCUAACCUGAAUGAUUCUAUGAUUUUCUCAUUCUAUGGUUCUAUGAUCUGGCUUGUGGCAUCUGCUCAUCUGGAAGUUGGAAGGGGUGGAGCCUGGCUGCACCUCUCUUAGACCCCAUUUAAGGGCUGACUGCCACUGGAGGAGGCUCUCUGGUUGGAGAUCCCUCCUCUCUGGGGUUUCUGCUUUGAGCCUAGACAUUUGGAGAUUGGUGAGCCCUUCUUUCUUUUGUAACAUCUUCCUGUUGUGCUGGUCCCUCUGCUGCUACAGUCACCCUCUCUGAUGAGCCUUUUGCACAAAGAUCCUGUCAGCAUCCUCUCUUUGCCCUGUUGCAGUCUUGAGUUCUACAUGUGAGCAAGGACUGGGACACCUUCCCACAGGUGUAGGUGCCUAGCAGCAGGAACUGAGCUCCAACCACAGUGCUGGGGUGGGAGGUGCCAAGAUUUGCAGUUCUAUUGUGACUCUUAUAUUGUUACAAUCUACAGGCCAGCAUGCGGAGCCCUGGGGUUGAGCAGGCUUUUGUCCAGUCUACUUUUAUCCUCUGCUCCUUUGCCAUAGGAGCCUUUUCCUUUAAGGUGCUUCUUAGAAUCUUCUGGGGCAUGAGAAUAUGCUGCUAUGCCCACUGCAGCCUCUGGAAGUAUUUUCCUCCUCAGAAAGGAACACAGUGUCCGUGCAACUUUAAAAGUCUGCCCUAGGAGUUUGCUUGUCAAAAGAGUGAAAUGUCCCAGCUUGUGUCGAGGGGAUAAAUGGAAGCAGGUUGACCUCCCUCCUUAGCAUCGCUUAAACUGGAGGAAAGAAGCUCAGAGAAGCAGCCCAGUGAUUUGUUCUCCUAUAAAAAUGACCCUGUCAUCACGCUCCACUGUUUAUACGAGCAGUGGGGCUGGCACUGAGCCUAGUCUGGGAAGAAAAAUGAGUUUCGUUCUGCUGCUUUACAGAAUCACAGCAUGACUUGGGUUGGAAAGGACCUUAAAGGUCGCUCAGUCCCAACCCGCAGCGGGGCUUUGGCCAUAGGCAUCCAUCCCCAGAAACUGGGGAGACUGGGAUCAGAGGCUGAGCAUGCCUGUGUGGUGUGAUAAUAUCUACUUGCAAAUAAAUAUCCUCUCUGACAGACCAUCACCCAGCCCCAGCUCUUCCAAGACCCCAGGCUGCUGCUUAGGAAACGAUGGUGUUUGGGGAUCAUUGGUUUUACCUUUUGCUUUUCUAAGUUUGUCUUCUCCUUCAUCCUAGGCCAAAGGAAGGAGAUGUUUCAAGUUGCUGUGAAAAACACAACAGCAGUGGGGUUUUUUUUGUCCCUUCUUAAACAAGAUGGAAACACACUGUCCUUUUUCCAACUUUCUCUCAGCACCUUCACUGUUAAUUCCCAUUACUCUCAGCCCAGCUUUCAGGUCUUUGACAAAUUCUCUCUGUUCAUUCCCAAGUGCAAAACUUCAGCUGUGAUUUUUGAGUAAAGGUCAUCAGUGACACCAAAACUGGUUAGUAAUUUUCUCCUGAACUUUCUCAGACCCAGCUGUGACUCAGCUGCUACAAUCAGGAAAUAACAGGGGAUGGCAGGAAUGCCUGUGGGGAAAUACCCCCUAAAAUAUAUUUAUCUUUAAAAAUGCUUUUACUGCAACCUGCUUGCUCAUGUGAAUAACUUUUGGCCAAGGUCUGCCACACAGCCAAGUCUCAAACGGCUCUCUGGUUUUAAAUGCAUUAAAAAGCAUCACCUUGUCAUCAGUCAUGGAUGAGUUCUGUAGAGCCACAAAGGUUUCCAAAGGCUCUGUUUUCAUUUGUGUCUUUGCAGAAACUUGGGACCCCUGUGCCUGGGGCCACCCACACUUCUAAUGUGACCCCAAGGGGGAUUUUGGAAGAGGCAGGAGCUGCACUGCAGGGAGCAGAGAGGGGAGCUGGGGCAUAGUGUUCUGUGAAGGUGGCAGAAAAUGAGGCAAAUUCCAUUCCAUAGUGGCUUAAAAUCAUCAUCCAGAGAGACUUAGUCUUGAGCAGUGGGUCCAGGGGAACCUCAUUAGGUUCAACAAAUCCAAGCGCAAAGUCUUGCACCUGGGUCGUGGCAAACCCCACUAUCAGUGCAAGAUGGGGGAUGUAAGGAUGGAGCACAACCCUGACAAAAAGGACCUGGGGGUGCUGGUGGAUGGCAGCUGGACAUGAGUUGGCACUGUGCCCUCACAGCCCAAAGCCAACCAUACUUUGGGCUGCAUCAAAAGCAGUGUGGUCAGCAGGGGGAGGGAUGAGAUCUGCCCCUCUGUGCUGUGAGACCUUACCUGGAGUACUGCGUCCAGAUGGGGAGUCCUCAGUGCAGGAGAGGUGUGGACCUGUUAGAGCAUGUCCAGGGAAGGGCCAUAGAAAUGCACCAAGGGAUGGAACACUUUCCAGAAGAGGACAGGCUGAGAGCUGGGGCUGUUCAGCAUGGAGAAGAGAAGGCUGCGGGGAGACCUGAGAGCGGCCUUUGAGUAUCUAAAGGGGAGCUACAGGAAACAAAGAGACAGACUCUGUGGCAGGGUCUGUGGUGAUAGGACAAGGGGAAAUGGUUUCAGAGUAAAAGAGGGGAGAUUUAGACUGGAUAUGAGGAAGAAGUUUUUUACAACAUGGGUGGUGAAGCACUGGCACAGAUUGCCUAGGGAGGUGGUGGAAGCCCUAUCCUUGGAGACACCCAUCCAAAGUGGUGCCAGCAGCUCUUCCCUGUGGAAAUAAUGGUUGCUUCCCCUUGCCAGCUGACUGCACAGGAGCCCCCUGCUGCUUCUGUCCCAUGUCAGAGCUGUAGCUGGGCCAUCUACCAGCACGAUCUCUCAUUGCCACUGGUGAGCAUUAGUGACCUGUGAAAUAUGCGGAUGUGUCUGCAGGAGGGCACACGCUCAGCCAGCCGUUUUGGAGGCUGCGUUCCUGGCUGUGCCCUUGUGUGCUGCUGGCACCAAUUCACAGCUCCUUCCAUCAGCAGGGAAAGCGAAACGUAAAAUGAAUGUGCCUCUGGGGAAGAAGAGGUGGUGAUUUUAGGGUUUGAGGGGAGUAACUGAGAGCAUUGAAGUGCAUGUGAGAAGGAAAAGGCAAGGCAUCGGUUUGCAGUAAUUGUUUUGUAUGGAUACAGAAGUUGAAAUUGCAAAGCAGCUUCUAGGGUAGAGAAAAUGCAGUAGGUUCUUUGAUUUUUAGACGUAUAUCAAUCUGUGAGGGUAAUGGAAGUUGGCUUGGAAGAUAUAUGACAUCUUUCUAGCCUUACUGUCAAAAAGAUGAUUAAAAUUACAGGUUCCCAUUCACUGUUUUCCUUUAGGAUUUGAUUUAAAUCUAUCAGUUUUGUUCUCAUUUCUCAUUCAUCUGCUUUUUUCUGUUUGCUUUUUAAAUUAUUUUCCCCAAAUAUAUCAAUGGUUCCCAAGCUUCCAGUCCUGCAAUUCUUAUUGCUAGUGAGGAGGAGAGCCCUGAGCUAUAUGAGUGCAAUUAUACCAGCGUGGAGUUGAUUGUAUAUGCAUGCUGACCUUAACUUCUUGCUGUGUUCAGCAGCUGGGUGUUGGAAUGGAGCCUUUCAUAGCUAUAGGUCAGGAGCUCAGGGUCUGUAAGCGCACCAUUCUCAUGUAGCUUAAGAAGAUUCAACAGGGCAUCAGGGUGUACAUGCCCAGUUGCCAAAAUCAGGUCAUCUACUGAUAGUCUGUAUAUAUUUAUGUACAUAUAUUUCAAAGACCCCUCUGUCUUAUUUCUUGCUAUAUGUGGAAGGAAGCUGAGAUCUAGCACUCAUUUAUUUGUUGUGCUGUGUCCUUUGAAGGUGGGUUUCCCAAGUCAUUCUCUUCUCCGUCUUUUUCUCCCUGCUCACGACUUUAACCCUUGGGCAGCUUCUGGCUCAUUUGGCUGAUGGAGAGCUGGGGGGUCUCUGAUGCUUUUAAUUGAUCUGAGCUUUGGAAAAGCUGGUGGCUGUGAGGAGGGAGAGUCUCUAGGACAGUCUUCCUGCAGAGCAGAUGAGGAAGAGUGCAGUGCAGUUAAAUGAGCCAUAUUCCUCUUGUGUACCACAUUUAGAGAGAGUAAGGACUAUAUGUCUACAUCCAAACACUUCCCAGAUAGGCAAGCGUGGCCUUCUUACAGCCAUCACGUUUAUCCCAUGAGGCUGAGAAGUGAAACCUCCAUUUGCUGCUGUCUGUUAAUUAGAAAUCUUCCAAGCCUGAGCCCUCUUUAACAAUUAAAAGAAGGAAAAAAAAGGCAAAAAACCCUAUUUUAUUGCUGGAGUGAGUUCCAUGUCAAUAUAAAUCACAUCAGAGAUGAAGCCUCACAAUUGGAUGAGUCUGGAUGAAAUGAGUUUCCACAAAGCCUAUUUCUCUGUCACUCUUUCUUUCCCUGAUGAAUCUUUGCCACCACAUUUCUGCCACUCCUCAGAGCUCCCACAGAGUACUGGGCUCCCAGCACAAGGCUGCUUGGGCCGUGCUUUGUCCCAGCACAGUUUAAUAUCUGAACGCUUGAUGGUGCAAUCUCAUAACAUUCUUUAUACUUCUGUUUUCUAGGAGUGGGAUUAUGUAAGCCUGAUGGUAGUUGCACCUCCUGCUGUAAAAUGGGCUGUAAAAUGAAUUGUUAUGUAAAGAGGGGAAAGCUACAAUUCGCCUGCCUUUUUUCUCAUUAAUAAUGAGCAUUUUGCACUAUGAAGCAUUUUGCAGUGAUCAAUCACAAAACAAGUACAUCCCAGCAUAUCUUCAUGUUUCCUGGAAACACAGGAGAUGCAUUAAAGCUGAGUACAAUGUUCAGUGGGGAAGACAUCACCUGUGAACCUCCACAGCUCACUACCAGCCUCUCAGAGGACUGUGUGUCCUCACCGUGCUCAGAGUGCAGUUCUGUCUCUGGGAUGUUGCUCUCCAUCACUGCAGGGUCUUGUUGGUAGCAAGUAGCAUGGGGAACACUUGCUGUGUAGGGUCAGGUCAGGCUGGGCUAGGCCAGAAUGUCCCACUGCAGUGUGACAGAGUCUGUUAAGAAUUUGGUGUUGCAGGUAGGUUCUGGAGCCUUGUGCACCAUAGCUGCGAGUCUGUUCACCACAAAUCUAUCUAGCUUGCUACUGAGCUCAGGAGUUUUUCAGCAUCUGUCCUUUCCUGUACUCCAGGCUGGAAUUGCUCUGCUGGAUGUGCAGUUAGAGUGACCCAUCACUCCUAUUCUCCCUGCCAGCUUUGAUGCUGGUGCCUUAACGGUGUCUCUCUCUUUGGCCUUUUCAUACUUCUUGCAAAAAACAUCUCUGUACUGCCUGCCUGCUCAAGCGGAACAAGAGAGCUCCUUUCUGCUCGUCAGCUAAAAAUUACCUGCUUUCUCCGUUGAAAGAGUUUCCCUUUUGCUCUAUUUGCAGUAUUUCUUCCAUUUUAUCAUAGGUAUAACUUCUUGCAUCUGAUCCAGCCACGCACAUUUGCUGCUUCACACUGCUCUGCCCUUUCCUGUUGCUGUCGCAGGGGUUACUCCCAUUACAGCAGGACCAAAGCAGCUCACUUCUUUAGGAAGCUCAUAGGAGGAUUGUCUACCCAUGGUCAGCAAUGGGGGGUUGUUGCUGGAGGCCUCUGCAAAAACCUGAGCUUGGGGAUGGCCUAUGGCUAACCCCACCUGCUCCGAUGGGUAUUGCUCUUGCUUUUCACCUGAAAUCAGAGCUGCUUUAUUUACGGUGUGAUGACUAGCUCCCAGGCAGCCAGGCUUCAAUGCAUACUAAUGAACAAAACAAAUGUUUUCCCCUCAAAGUAUCAUGUGUUUUCCCAGACUUCCCUGCAUCUCAACCAGCGAGAUAACAUCAAAGUGGUAAAAUUUAAUGAACCUGCUGCAUUAGAGCGCAGCAUGAUUUAUUGGCUGCUACGCAGAGGAAACUCUGCUGCUGAGACUUUUCAGUAUAUUCCUCUGCUUUUACUAGGUUAAAAAUUAUUGCAGCCCGUUUGACAGGCAGCCAUCCUCGGUGCUGCUCUGUAGCAGACAGACCAGAGGACAGCCGUGACUGCUGACCAGCAAUGUGUGAAUGCUCCUGUUUGAAGACAGUAAGCAAUGAACAGUGCCCUAUCUUUUCUGAGAUGGGCAUAUUGCUGAAACAGCCUGAUUUCAAGAGGAAGCUGAGGGCUUGCUUAUUAAGUGCAACAACAACAGAAAAAUCCCACAUGAUGCAGCCCAUCUACAGAACACAUGAGAGUGGGGAAGGAGGCUUUAAUUAUGCAGCUGUUUCCAUGACAACCUCUUCUAUCAAAUGGCCAAGCAUAAGGGCUCUCUGAUCCUCUCCCGCUUGGUCUUGUUCACCUCUGGAACAACUACUCCAGGAUAAGAGCCCAGCUGUACCUCAGUGCAUUUUACACAAUUCUGCAAUAACAGGAAAAAAAAAACCAAACCAACCUAAUGACUGUCCUUAGACGGAGAGGGGCUGGAGGAGCCUGGUUUUACUUCCAUUGCAACUGCUUUCUCCUGCCUUGAUGACAAAUCCAUCUGAGUGUUUUUGGUCAAGACAAGGAGAGGCACUUUUCUCUGCAUGAGUCUCUUGGAGUCUUGGUGUAUGCCCUUCUCUCUGGGCGAGGGCAAAGGGAUCCUCAUUUGCUUCUUCUUUUUGCUUCAUGGGACAAGCAUGACUUUGGGUUGGGGGAAUACAUUAUAAAUAUGCGCUCCUUCCCUCUGGCAUAGGAAAAACAGGCAGCAAUGCUCACUGAGUGGCAGGCAGCCUUCAACAAUUUCUUGCUUAAUCUGAAGAAAUCAUGAGUCCUAAGAUGACAUUUCAGAGUAAACGGGGAGGAGGAAGACAUCAAGGUGUUGUCCAAAUGGAGGAAUUGUUCUGUUUUCUCUGAGGCCAUGUGAAUGGCAAAGCAUUAAUAUUUGCUUUUCCACUUCCCUUUGGGCCCCAUUGUUUGAGAGCUCAGCCCAGAGACGAGUUUCCAGCUCACCUCUGUUUACACUGAGUGUCGGCGUUGCCAGCCCUGUAUUGAGCCUUUCCCUUCCUUAUAUUGGCUCAGUGGGAAGGAAAGCUGUGCUAAUUCUUCCUAACAUGAGAAGACUCAUUGUCCCUCUUGACUGCUGUUCAACAACAGCUGGUUUUGUUGUAUUGUGGAGCUGUGUAUUUUCUUUUUAAUGGCUCAACACUACUUAAAAGCCAGGUCUGUCCCUAGCAUGUCUGCCAAAUCAAAUGGUUGGCUUGCUGUGAAACAGCCUAAAACUUUAAUUGGAAAGUGGUCCAACAAUAGAGCAGGUCCAAAAUCCCACUUGGCUCAGAUUCCUGUUUCUCAGGUCAAGAUUUGACAGUAAAAACACCACUUUAGUAGUGACAGCGUCAACUUUUAGUGUGUGCCCUCCUUCGAGAGCACUGAAUAUUUUGCUUGCAUUGAAAUGAGCUAAUCUCAAUUUGAAACAGAUAUUUUGCUUUUAAAGAAGCCUUGCAGGACCUUUUUGGAUGCAUUAAGAGAGCCAGCAAGAGGGUUUUAUCUGUCCUCUUUCCUUUAAACUCCUCCAGCGUUGGUCUUCGGAGGUAUUGCUCAAGGAGUUGGUGGGAACUUCUAGAGCAAGAUGUAUAGUACUGUAACUUGCAAGUGAGAUAGUUUUUGCCUCCUAAGUCAUAGCAACCUAGUGGCUUUUACAGGCUUGUUAAGAAUGGCUUUAAUUCUAUCUGAAUCCUGUAUAACUCCCAGUGUUGCUAAUUUGUAUGAGCAAAGGCAUGGCAAGAGAUGCCAAAAUGCAGCUGAAGACCCAUGUCUCGCUGAGCACCAUUGUAUGUCACUGCUGCCCCAUGCCCCAUAAAGCAAGGAUUUCCCCUCCAUUGGAGGCAUGAGAAGAAGGAGGCAGUUGUGCUGACUGUCUUGUUUGGAUUUGGGGUAGAAUCCAAGCUCUGCCAAGCUCUACCUGCCUGUUUCCUGGUGGGGCACUGUGAUGGCCCGGUAAGCUGCUUCUCACCCAGCACCACAGCUCACAGCCUGCCAAACAACUCACUGCUUAGUAAAGAGCAUGUCAGCGAGUGGAUUAACCUCUGCAUAAACACAAGGUAUGUUUGAGGGAGGCCUGACUGUUGGUGCCUUGAAGCUCGGAGCUUUCUUACACUUGGGAAUUGCCAUGCAGUUGUGCAUACUGGGCUCUAUGAUUCUAUAGCUCACAGUGUACUGAGAGCAGCCUUGUGGAGAAGGGCUUGUGAACCUUGAUGGGUGAAAAGGUUGACAUGAGCCAGCAGUGUGCGCCUGCAGCCCAGUAAGCUUACCAUACCCUGGGCUGCCCCAAAGCAGUGUGACCAGCAGGUCAGGGAGAUGGUUGCCCCUCCUGACCCACUCUUGUGAGACCCUCAGGAAGGACAUGGAGCUGUUAGAGCAGGUCCAGGGGAGGCCAUGAGGAUGGUCAGAGGGUUGGAGCACCUCUCCUAUGGAAACAGGCUGAGGGAGCUGGGCUUCUUUAGCCUGCACAGGAGGAGGCUCUGGGGAGGCCUCACAGAGGCCUUCCAGUACCUAAAAGAAACUUCCCUGCUUUCUGAAGCAAUUAAAAGAGGUGGUGUUACUUGAGGUGUGCUGUGUGCUCUGACUGGCUCUGGGGCCUAGAAAAGCCCCCAUCCCAGCAGCAAGUAGCUCAGAGCACAUCUUAGGGGAAAACAGCUUUGGACUUUGGGGCAGAUGUUUCCUCCCUGCAGAGCUGGCCAUGCUGUGUGCUAGAGGACAGCUGGCAAGACCUGAAGAUCUCGGUCGAGUCAGGUGGUGAGGAUGUGUCGUGUCUAUGAGGUGGAUACCAAGGGCCCCUCUUCACCUCUGCUGCCCUCCUGGAGCUGGAGGGGACAUGAGUGGCAAGUUGGUGAGUAAACACACUGGGCUGCAAUGAAAGGUUGCUGAAGUGAAGGAGAAUCAAAAGCAGCAGCUAAUUGGGAGGGAAGAAAGUAUGGAAACCUAAGGCUUGGAAAAGAAAACAAAUAAAUUCUUAAUGCUUUGGCUUUGUAAUGAGCAUAAUUAUACUUAAGCUCCUUGCCUAAUUUUGAAGCAGUCUGUGAGUGCUGAAAGCCCAGAGUUUACACCAGCAAGCAGCACUGACAAGCUGCAUGCAGAAAUUGGCCUUCUGACUCCAAGAGGAUAUUGAAGAUGUUCUGGUAAAUAUUUACAUUUUUUAAUCUCCAUUGCUAAUCAGAGCUGGGAUUAUUUAACUUGCAAGUGUUUAUUAAAAUAAACUCUGCACUGAUUGCUGUUUCUGCUAUUUUUCCCCCCUCCUGUCCAGAAGCUAGCAAAGCAGGGCUUUUGUCAAAGUUACAUUUGCUGAAGCACUGCAGUUGCUACUAUACAGCACAGCAUAGUUUGAAAGGCCCUUGGGGACAGACGUUAUUCCAAAAUGAGCUGUCAUCCUAAUCUCGAUGCUGCAAUUAGUUAACAACAGGAAUCUCGGAAUAGAGUGAUUCUGUGGGGUUUUUUCUUCUUUGAAUACCACUACCGGUGGCUAUGUUCACUAUAUUUAUGUCAGAUAGCCCAGCUGGAUCCCAGCUUGCAUCUACUGUUCCUUCCAUCUUUGGUCCUGGAGGGAACUCAAAGCACACAGGGGUGGUUGGGUGGCUCCUGGAAGGGAUGGUGCUUCCCAUGGAGAUGCUGCACAUCCUGGCACUGCUGGCUAACGGGGAAAGCAUCUUGAUAUCUGUGGCAUUUUCCCCAUUAAUGCUGGAAGGAUGGGAACGCUGGUGAGAAAGAAUGCAGGGGAUAGCAUCCCCUGUGUGGAUGGGAAAAGAAAAAGCCACCAGAGCUGUGCAAAUGCUUCCUGAAGACUUGGGUUUCUGAGUCGAGCCAAGGGACUUUUGCAGCAGUUGUCCCUGCUGCCAUGGCUCAUUUCAGCCCUUGCGCAGACAGAUCUGUAAGAAGAUAAAGCAAAGGCUGCAUGCCUGGAGCUGGACAGACCAAGGGCAAAUAGUUGCAGAGCCUGGUGAUGAGGAGGGAAUAAAUGAACUUCUUGUGAAUCAGAGCAGGACUCUGCACCAGUGCUGCCUGUGUUCCAGGGUGAGGGAGCUGUGGGCUCUUUGGUGCCUUGAGGUAUCUCUGUCUUUAGUUUUUAAUAUCAGCUUUGCAAAGUUUGUAGCUUGUCUGGGUAUAUUCUUUAAGCCCUGAUGCAUUCUGCCUCUGAGUAGAGGUGAAAAGCCCUCCAUUCAUCCUGAAGGAGAGCAUCACACUUAGCUGCUUAACAUGACUUUUCACAAAGAAGUAAGGGUAACGCCACCGAAUGAACUGGUCUCUAAUUGCUGCCACUGAACCCUCUGAAUCUCUGAGCUAACAAGCAGGAGAGGGGAGACAUCAUCAGCAUUACCCUCAAUUAGGAAUACUUAGGAAAGAAGCUAUCUUUUGGUCUCUGAUGUGAAAAAAUCAAAUCGCUGUUGUCAUCUGUCCCCACUAGCAUCAGGCUGUCUUGCAGCAAAUGCCUGCCCAUCUUUUCAAGUCUGUCAGCUGGUUUUGACCUUGGUAUGAACCGUCCUGGGUCUGGGUUUGUCAGCAGGCAGGGUGAGAAAUGAGCAUAGUGGAGGAGGUAGGAGAUGUGAAGUGCAGCAGGAAGGAAGGCAGUGUGAAAAACAGAGGAUAACCGUAGUGUUACGGGGUGAGCAGAUGGAGGGCUGUCUCCAACAGGCUGAAACGGUGUUGCAAUAUCCGUGGGCUCUCCUGCAUUAAUAAUUCUGAUAAGCAGUAAGGAAUGUGGAAUGAGUUUUUUAUCCAACUGAUAGGGCAAAUUGGGAAUACCUGAGAGUCAUUCUGCCAUCUUCUUCCCUGCAAUGCUUGGGCUGAGAGGUAAUAACUUGCAGCUCCUUUUAGCAACAGCUUACACUGGGACCCCAAGUCACCACCAGAGAUGUGGCCCUGUGCAGCUUGAGGGUGAAAGGGCACUGGUGGUUCCAGAAGAAAAAUGAGGAAGGAGAACCAGAAAUAAAGCAGAUAAAUUCUUCCAUGAUUGUUAGGUGGUGCUGUGUGGAGCCAGGAGCUUGACUUGAUGAUCCAUAUGGGUCCCUUCCAACUUGAGAUAUUCUAUGGUUCUGUGAUUCUAUGACAGUGGAGAUGAACUUCCAGAUGUAAUUAAAAGCAUUGUUGCCUUUGUUAUUCAUAAGAAUGUCUGCCAUUGAUGGGAAGCUGGGGCUGGUAUCAAUGAAAUGGAGCCCUAUGUGGAAUGGAAGCAUGGAAGUUAAAUCAGCAUGUCUGGCAUCCAGGUGGUUUCUCUUUAGUGUAACUUGCUUGGCCUUCUGCUGUAUUUAGCACGUAAGAUCCAAACUCUGCCCUGAACAUCAUCAGGAUAUUUUCUCCUGCCAGUUGUUUCUGUCUGGCCAUGUUAUACCUCGCCAUACUUCUGUUGUAUCUUGCCAUUCUACACUGGCCUUUGCAAUGCAGCUCUCAGAUCAGGUGGCAUUGUUAAUCCUGCUAUCUCAGUGACAGAGCUGUUGCCGAGGUGUGAUAUGUUUUGGCCUUCUUUUUCUCCAGGCCUGAUGAUUUCAAGGUGUGCAGUCUGAUGCAGCAGUGCAGAGGGUGCUGCAGCAUCCCAGUUCGAGCCUCAGUGGUGCUGCAUGGCUUCCAGCCCCACCUGCCAGUGCUGGUUUGGCCAUGGUUCUCCUGACUGAUCCCUGCAAGAAUUGGGUUUGGAGACUUAUCUAACGCAUAGAACAUCAGGGCAGCCUGGUCUGUGAGAGGCAUCUGUGCCCACAGCAGGGAUUGGGACUGGAUGAGCUUUAAGGUCCUUUCCAACUCAAGUCACACUGUGAUUCUGUGGAGGUCUCCUGGGCACCAAGGUGGUGAGGAUCAGAAACACGUUGUUGUGGAGGGCUGUAUGAACGCAGGUGAGAGUUACUGAAAAAGAAGCAGCUGAUUUGCACACUAUAUCUGGUUGCACACACCUGCACCAGCACACAAAGGGACAGGGCUGUUUAUCCACAAGUAUAAAGCAGGCACAUUUCAGACUGUGGACUAGCAAUCACCCCCAGCACACUGCCAGCCAAAUUAUGUUCCUCACCACAACUGCAAACACAGCAUGGCCUGUAUCCAGUGUCUUCUCUGCUUCCCUGUCAAACAACUCAAUGGUCUUUCAGUAUUGCCAACAGUCUAUGAGAUGUGGAGGUCUGUUUUAACGAGAUAUGAGCAGAACUUUGUUGUAGUUGUGGUCAAAGCUGCUGGACGGAGCGUUGUUCCAGUUGCUGUGUUUUUGGCAUUUCCACAUGCUUGCUUGAAAUGCUUUACCUUGUGACUGGGUGGACUUGAGGUGAACGUUGACUUGGGCCUGUUGUGCUCAUAGCACAACUCCUUCCUGUAUCUCCCAACUCCUUUAUUUGGGAACGCCUCUUUCCCUCAUGGCUUCUGGUGGGCUUCUACCCAGACACUGCUGACUCUGCACAGAUCCUAAAGUGCACAGCACAUGGCUACAAGCACACUUCUUCACUGAGUCGUAGAAUCACAGAAUCCUUUGUGUUAGAAGGGACCCUCAAAGGCCAUCUGGUCCAAUGCCCCUGUGAUGAACAGGGACACCUACAGCUCCAUCAGGUGCUCCUGUAUCCUGUAUCAGGCCCCAUCCAGCCUGACACUGGGUGUCUCCAGGGAUGGGGCAUCCACCACCUCUCUGGGCAAUCAGUGCCAGUGCUUCAUUACCCUUAUCAUAUAAAACCUUUUUCUUAUACCCAGUCUAAAUCUUGCCUCUUAUAGUUUGAAACCAUUUCUCCUUGUCUUCUUGCAACAGAGCCUGCUAAGGGGUGUUGUUUGGCAAGGUGCACUUCUGCUCUCCGUCUCAGGCCAGCCUUGAGUAACGUGGGUGGCUGGCAAACCUUGGCACAAUGGGACAAGCACGUGGGAGCUGUUUCUCUUGUGUGGGGCUCAUUUAAUCAGGCAGGUCAUUCAGUGAAAGUUGUGCCUUUUAAUCUUCUGACCUCUGUCCCUGUCUUGAGCAGCUUUGCCAUCUGCUCAGAUGUCGUGUAAGGUGACCACACAUUUUUCUCCAAAGACCCAUGUUCCUCCAAAGCUCCUCUUCCCCAACCAGACUUACUGAGCAGCUCAGGGAAAGAAGUUGUCUGGUCCUUGUGGCAUUGAGUUACUUACCAGUUGCAAAAUUAUUUGGACUUGACCCUCUGAGAUAACCCUAUGUGAAAUGUGACUUUUUUGGUCGUGAUUUCCCUGGAAAAUUUGGUGCUCAGUUGGUUUUAUCCUUCAGUGUGGGUCACCUGGCAUCUAGUUUUGCUCUUAGCUUAAGAUGUAACCCCCCAAGCUUUCUUGGGAUGCUUCCUGUUUGGUGCUGCUUGUUUGGAAGUAUUACUGACUUGAGAAGAAGAAAGCUGAAGGUGCAUUUCCACACAUAAGCUCAAGGUUGCCAUGGUCCCAGAUACAUAAACAGACAAAUCCUUAUUUACGGGACGUGCUGCUCUGAAUAUGACUAACUGUAGAAGCUCUCUGGGAUUUGGGUUGUGACAACAGUGUCUGACUGGCAUUGCUUCUGCCAUCGGCAGAUCUCAAAGCACAUAGCAAAUAAGUGUAUUUUCCAUUGAUUGAUGCACAAGAGAGCGCACGCUAUAAAUCAGUGGAGAUGUGGGGCUUGAUCCUGUCCCUGCUGUGUGUCCAGGCUCGUGCUCCUUGUAAGACACAGCAUGGUGAGGAUUUAUCUCUCUGCCUUUCAGCUCUGCACCUCCCUUGGGUCUGUAUGUGUGGUCAUGUUUGUGCAUGCUCAGCUGCCUGCUUGAGCCCCCAGAGGCAGGACUCCUGCAUUUUGUCCCUGGAAACGUGUGGAAAGAUGCCCAUCAGCAAUGCCAGUGAAGGUGAUAGCUGGCCUUUCUGGUCCGAGGCAUUCAUCUUUUGGGGUUCAACAGCUUAUGCUGGUGUGCUAUUAAUUUCAGACUCUCAGAGUUGACAGCGAUUGCUCGAGAGCAGAUGAUGUUUGAAAUAUUGUCUAUGCUGUCAUUGUAACUGAAUCUUUGUUAUUCAGAAAGCCUUGGCUGACUGCUGGGUUCUGUGCUGAACGAAUCUUGCAAUACAAAUAUUUGCCUGUGGAGAGAUGCCUUAUUAUUAAUUUAAAGCCUGACAUAAAUCACAAGCUCAAAAAUGCAGACUUAAGCUUCCUGGACAAAAAUAGAUGUAGCCUCUUGCAUGGGGAGCCGUUCCGAUUAUGCUUCCAUAAUUGGAUCAUGCUGAAAUGGAUACCUUAAAUUUAGUUACAAAAGGCUAACCAGAAAAAAAUGCCAACAAUUUAUCACAGCCACGGUGCUAUAUUUAAAGCUGUCAGCGUUUCCAGGAUAUAAAGUGAUUAUAAAUCCAAGAGAUCUGUAGCCAGCCGUAGGAAUCUGCCUUCGUGCUGACAUUUAACACUGGAGUUCUCCACGCCAGAGCCCCCUGAAUUCGGGAACGUAAUUAAGCUUUCACCUCUUAUUAAUUUCAGGAUAGCUUAUUGCCAAUACAGGCUUAAAUGGAGGCAUAUACUUGAAUGUACUGUUGAAUCAAUGUCCAAAAGCUUAAUUAUUUUUCUCAGUAAUGAAGACCUUGCUGUGGAUUUGAAGUUAGAAGUACCAGAAUGCUGCUGGAGCCAAGAGCCAAUGCCAACAUCCCUACUUACUAAACACAGAAAUAGAGCAUUUGUGUCUCCUAAAAGGACCUAUUAUUUGUUAUUAAAUAAUAUCUUCACUUUUGCUUACUGUGACCUCAGGUGAAUGAGAUCUUUUAGCUGCUCAAGAGCUGUAUAAUUGAAAGAUGUCUGCUUGUUUCAGAUAAUCCCAAAGGAGCCUGGCAUUUGGAAAACUGGCCAAGAAAUGAGGCAGCCAGUAAUGCUUAUGCCUAUGGCUCUGCUUUCCAUUGUGUUUUCAUUUCCUACCUUCGUUCCUUUUCCCUUAAGUGACAUCAAGCUUGUGGAAUGAACUCACUUAUUAGUAGAGUAAGGGAUAAGCAAAAAAGAUGCAAUAAAAAAGAAAUUACUUCUAAACCUCCCCUGCCAAGUAUGUGAAUCUUUCAGGAAACUAACACAUGGCCCAGCUCUGCAAAUCACUGAAGAAUGUGAGUUGUUCCUAUUGGAGUAAACAGCACUCAGCAAGUCUGCUGGGAUAUUACGCUGGGGAAGUGAGGCCUCAAGCCCUAAACCAGUACAGAAAAUCUUCCUGGGGCUCCUAAGGUGCUCCAUGUGACUCAUGGCUGCUGCUUUUGGGCCACGCUUCUGUCAGCUCCUACAACAUCAUUUGCACUGCACAGCCCCUGGGCCAGAUCGGCAUUCAUCUUGUGGGUUUGGACUGUGAGCUGAUGGAGAUGGGCUUUCAUGGCUGAGGGCCAGCUUCUGUCCCCAGGUUUUAGCAGCUUCCAGGUAUCACCUAUCUGCCAUGUUCCUGUUUACAGAAGUGCUGUCUGAUGGGCAGAGCCAACCUGCUGUGCUCCAGUUUGUGCCCAGUGCCUCUUGGCCUCCACGUGAAAAUAGCAUCUCUGAAAAUAGCAUCUCAGUGCUAUUGCAUUGCAGGAGGUCAUGCAGAAGACUGCUUUAUUCCACCAACUGCGUUUUCAUACAGAGUUUGAGAGAGCAGGUACCAGAUUUAUGAAGGCUCUGUGUUAGCUGUGGCUCGUUAUAAAGCCCUGUACCAGCUCUGCCACCAGCAAGCCGCUGGGGACACCACCAAGUAAAUGCCACUGUGUGACCAAUGCUUGCUGAGAAGGCUUUGAGGGACCCCCAGGAACACCCAUGUGCUACCCUUAGUGGGACACAGAGCAGCAGGCUCUCUUGGGAGAGCUGCAGAAGGCACUGCGAGGUCUUCACUUGACUUCAUUGGCAGCCCAUCUUUGCACCUCGGAGGGAAUUCUUUUCCAAGGAAUGGAUUUUGGAGGGAAAUGUUCAGCAAUCAGUAUUUCCAAAGCUGAGCUUGGUAACCAAGAGAAGGAAGGUACAUCAGAAAAUGCCUGAAUUCAUUUCUUUGCUGAUGAGAACUGUUUCACAGGGAGAAAGAGGCAUGGCUGUGUGCAAGGGGUGUAAUUGGGGCAGAAGUUGUGCAGGGUGGUGGACUGGGGGAAGACAUCCUACGGGUGAAGCUCUGCUCCAUGGGUCGUGUAUGUGCUGUGUUGCAUUUCUCUGCUGCUUGUUUCUGACAGCAGGCAGAAGUGGGGUACCCAAGCAGAGUUUAGUUCUGAAGAAGCUGGUAGGAGAAAGCUAGCGCAAGUUUUCAUUGAGAAGCUUUAUUUCAAUUGGAAAAAUGGGGUCUCAGCUAAACCAAGCUGAAACUGAAAGUGUCUGGGAGGUUUUUGUCUGUCUAGCAAGCAGUACAAGUAUUAAUGUAGUGGAAAGAGAGCCAAACCAGAAAAUUGUAUGUGCCCUUAAGUAAAAAUGUUCUCAUUCUUCAGCCCAAACUUAAAACACAUCAGCAGAAAAAUGAAUGCUAUUAUUUAAUGGCAUCUGUAGCCUUCAUUUUCUACUUUCCUUACAGAACCAAAGCCUAAGCAGACCACAUCUCCUGUGUCAUGUCUAGACUGUGACUUGCGGGCAGUAAGGUUGUCUGCUACCAUUGUAUAUUGAACAAGUACUCGCAGUACUUUCACCCAAGGAAGAUGCUUGGUCUCUGGAGAAAUAUAAGGUCACAGUGAUUUGCAAUUGAUAGAUACACCACAGGGAAAAUUUCUUUGGCAUCUCUCUUACAAAAUGACAAAAGCAACAGAUUUUCUUUCCUCUACAAUCCUAACUUGCUGGCUUCUUUUAAAAUCUCAGUUUGCCAGCAUGCUGCAUGCAGGAUGCCAACAGUAAAUGUAGAAAGGGGUUGUUUUUGAUGCUUCAGUCACAUUUAUGUUCCUAAUGAUUGUUUCUUGGACAAAGUAAAUAAUACUUAGUCAAGCCGACAUCCUAACUAACUAGAGUUAAUAGCUAUAAGGAAUGUUCUCUCUGCUAAAACACCCAAUGAGAUGUAUGCCCCAAACCAUCUAGACAGUGCGGAUCAGCUUGGCAGCCAACCAAAGUGAGGAGACCAAAUGACUUCCAAGUGGCUGAUAACCACAGAGAGUUCAUGAAACCUUCUUCUAGAAGGAUCUUUGCACCAUAAAAACGGCUUUCAGGAUGCUGUUUAAAGGGAGGUUGCUUGGUGCUGCUUUGGUUUUGUCCACGUGGCUCUGUGAGCUUUGAAGUUGUCCAUCCUCCUCCCAUGUGCCUGCUCUCGUUUUGACCUUCCUCAUACAAAAAUAGCUCUUUUUAGUCACAGAAAAUAUCAAAGGUGUCAGACAAUGGCUGGGUUCUUGUUCUCAUUUAAAUGGGUGGGAACGUUGCCAUGAUCCUGGAGGGGAACGUGAUUAGGGCCCUGUAACAGACCUCAGCCCAAGGAGCAGAGCAGUAGGAUCUGAUAAGCUGUGGUGGCUCAAGAGGAUGGAGAGGGAGGGGAGCUUUCUCCUUGGGUACACAUGAGCAAAUCCAGUGUCCAUUGGUGGCCUGUGGGGCAGGGGCUGUAAGCCCGAUCCAAGCUCAUGCAGGCUGCAGCAGAGGACAGGAUCUCCAAAAUGAGUGUUAUUGAACUGGCCAGAGCCAAAGCAACAACGUCCCAACCUACAGGCUCUAUACAACUCAACCUAUGGUUCCUACCUCCUCCUAACCCACAGGUCCUACACCCUACCGACCUACAUGCCUUUCUUCAUUCAGCCCAAAGGUCCUAUGCCCACCAUGUCACACCAGUGUUGUCAUCUUGCCGCCUAAUAAUGAGGCAGAUACUGCGAAGGCCCUACAUGUCUAAAAUGUUGACUUUUGAGGUUUGGAGAGGUCUUUGGGAGGGGGCAGUUUUCUGGGUUAAAAGAGAUCAGCUCACCUUCCAGACCUUUCCUUACCCAGGACCUUGGUCACAAAACAGCCACAAAAGUUUUUCCAUUAGAAAAAAAAAAUCCCUUUAGAGCCAGUGGCUGGAAUUACCGCUCCCAACCUGACUGCCAAUUUCUCUGCUGGAGUUCAGGCUCCAUCAGAAGAAACUUGCUCUCCUCUUUCAAUUCACAGCCCUCCCUACGUGUAGAACAGUUCGACAUUAGAGACGAUGAGACAAAAAUAAGUGGAGGAAGCUAAGCACGGGAACAUAAUCAAAGGCAUCAAGCCUUUUAAGAUAGCGUCUGUCCUAAUAUUUACAGAAUCCCUCCAAAGCCAAGAGACUUCUGCUAGACUUCACAGACUCAAUGCUGUUCUGUUCUUGUUUAUGGCUCUGGUGCCAAAGUAAAUUGAGGGGCUGAUAAACACUGCGCACCCUGCCAUGUUCUGUCAAUGGACAUCUUCCUUGGAAUGAAGUGCCCAAACAACAUAAAAGUGUUUUAAUUCUGUUUUAUGUUCUCAUCUGUCUCCUAAACUGUUAUUUUCAGAUUUAUUCUGGAACACCAACUCAGUGGGACUUGGUUUCUUUUCCCUGCCUUUCCAUCACACUGAUAAGCUAUCAUGCCAACCCGUGUGCAGAGUACCUCAUUGGCACCAUUCUCAUGUGUUUGGCUUGCAACUGUCCCUCACGUGGAAAUUUACUCAUUUGAAUUCAGAGCAAGAUGCAGGCCUAGGAAUGGCUGCACUCAGAAAUUAAGGGGAGCUUUCACUGCAGCCCCUUGUCUUGUUCCGUGUCUGGACCCUAAUUGGAGAAAGGAAUUGUGGACCAGGAGAUGGAAUUUGGCAGGACUCAAAAAACACAGGUUCGCCCCAGGGCUGUAACGUUCUGGGUUGCUGCUGCCUAAGCACAGCGAUUAGUGGCUGUCAUCCCACCAGUUCACUAGAAUACAAUAGAAGCUCUCUAAUUGUUAAUUAGAGCUAAUUGCUCACCAGGAAGGAACUCAGGCUUUAGCUAAUGAUCAGAGAUAGCUCAAGGCUCCUGGAUGGAGGCUGGUAGCCCCGAGGCAGGGUGCCUGCAAAAGGGCUGCUUUGCUCACCCUCCUCCUCCAGCAUCUGGGCCAGGUCUAACCUAGGCUGUCCUAGGCUAUUACCUCCCCAUGCAUCAGACGGGCACCCCACAGGGGCAGCGUUUGAUGAGAAAUUCCACCAAAUCCCUUUUCCUUGCAAGAAUGUCAUGCCAGGGAGCUCGGAUAUGUGGUGGGAAGAGAGGACAGAGGUGUGUCCAGUAGGUGUCUGGCACUGCAUUUCACAGAGCAACUGCAAGCAGGAGGUGAGUUGGGAUGAUGGGCUGACUUACUAUGGAAGAGAACGCAUACAGCAGAAACCACAGCAUGAAAGGAAGGCUGGGGGUAAGUGUACGGGGUCAGCAGGGUUGGCUCUUGUGGGUUUGUUUCUGCAGGGUGGAAUGCAAGCAAUUUCUUGGCACUGUUUUUCCACAGGAUAUUAGCAUUAUAAAAGGGAGCUGCCGAGAAGGAAUAGUUAAGAUACAUCGCUGUUGGCUCUGUUCAUCAUCUCCACGAUUUUUUGUUUGUUUGUUUUUUGUUUUUUGAGUCUGCUCCGUCCUUUUCCAGCUCGUGUAGCCUCAGGAACGCUGCAUUCAGCAUGGCAAAACCUCUUGUUCCUCAUGCCCUCCCUUCCAGCCCCUGCUGUCUCAGGGCAUAGAGGGCAUCUCCUCCUGUAGCAGUGUGCUCCCUGAAGGAGGUGUGCCACCUGAAACCUGAAGGAAAGGGCUUCUUGGCAAGGACGAAACAGCAGAUCGGUGCCUUCUUUCCAUCCCUGACAUGUAGGAAGAGAUCCCAAAUGGGUCUCUGUGUUUGUUCUGGCUCUAGUUUGCUUUAGGUAUUUAAGGUUUCAGCAGCCUAAUGAGCCUGUGGUAUCCACGGAAUGCAGGCAUGGACCGAGAAUCAAUGGAGGGAUGCUGAAGGAGGGGAAAUAAUGUGAAUGUGCCCCUCCUUUCAGUCUCUCUUCAAAGCUAUACUGUGGCUCCCGGGGAUUUUGCUGUUUGGGAGGUUUUUGUCUUUCCUAUAGCAAGAAGGAUUUGACUUCCCCGCCCCACUUCAUCCUUCAUCCCCCCAUUUAGAUCACGACAGCUGGGUGGUUUUUGGGGGGUAGGAAAGCACCUCUGUGCCUCCUUUCACAGCAAGGUGAAAAUCUUGCUGUUCGUCAAGCCAAUGUGGAACCUCUCCAUCCUGAGUGGAGGAGCUUUCUGUCAUUAGAACAGAUUCACCUACACUUCAAGGCUCAAGUAAUGUUUGGUACAAAUUCAUGCAACAACUUGGAAGAACCUUCUUUUCCCUCCCCUCAAGGUCAUACGCACAAGAGCUGCCCUGGGAAAUCACACCGUAGUCAAAAAUGAAGUUGGAAAAAUAGCUGUUUAUGAUCUUCCCCUCCCACUUGGUCAGUCUCAGAUCCAAACCAGAUUAGAUUAAAUUGUACCAAAAAGCAUCCAGAUUGCACGGUUGUACAGUGGCCAGGAAUGAAUGAGUUUUCUUGAUCCCAGGUCCCCACUGCAAUUUCUUCUGCAUUCCUCUGGCCACCCACAUACACUGAGCAAUGAAUGCAUCCCAUUUCCAAGACCACCAGGAGAAAAGUGAAUGUUUACCAACUGAAAAUUGCCCUUCAGCCUGUUGGAAAGGCAUUUUUUCCUUGUUGGGAAAAACGCUGCUGUAGCAGAAAUGGAAGAUGGCAGGUCUCAUCACACCGCAAGGACCCCUGCAAAGAGAGCAGGAAUGCAGCACCUACAUCCCUCUCUAAGCCUCAGCCUGUGGGAUAAUCACCUAUAAAUUGUCUCCUCUGACAACUUCUAAGUGCUUCCAGCUAUGAGUGACCCAUUCAUUAUUGUGCUCAGGUCACAGAUAUUUAGACAUUUACAAACAUAGUUAAGAUCCCAAUUGCAGUCUUCUCCUUUUCAGGCUGAACAGUUGCAUACAGCGACAGUUGGAGUUGUCCUCCAUAUGCCAUGUUGUUCAGAGGUGUUGCAGGAAAGGGUGAAAUAACUGAAGGUAUCAAAGAGCAGCUGAUAAUUACAGGCUCCCUGUGAUCUCUGGGACCUGGCAGUGAGCACAGAAAGUAACACAGCACUUGGUUGAGUUGUAGGAGGAUGAGGUUCAAGUCUCUGCUCCAGUGCAGACUUCUUGCUCCAUUCUGCAAUUCCCUGUCUGUGAGAUGACAUUACACUGUGCUGGAGGAACAAGGCUUAUCCUGGAGCAGGAAUAAGCAACCACGUGAUGAGGUCCAGGUUGGAGUAAAUGUAUCCCUCCACUGGUAAAUACUGUGCAAGGGGGGGGAAAAGGGCGUAAAUGAAAUUUGCAAUUCUAAGAGAUUUAAAGCAGCUUUAGAAAAGCCUGUCUGGUGUAGGAGCACUUCUUCAUAGCAGAGCAGGGCAGCUGCCCUGCCAUGCCAGGUGUUGAGCUCUGCUGCCAGAUAUGCACCCUGCAUGCUGGGCCCUCAUCUUAGCCUGGCUUCUGCAUAUGAGAUGGCCAUCCCAUCCCAUAAGGUUCCUUUUUAAUAGAGGGGUUUAAGGAAAAUAAGAUCUGUGCUCUGUGGUCCUUGGACAUUACUUACUUCUACUGACAAAUGCCAGCUAUUGAGAUUGUUCCAAGUUACAGCUGACUCAUAUGUCUUUCCCCAUAUGUUGUAAAGUAAGCUGAGUUUUUUGGGUCCAGUGUCUUCUGAAAGACUGGGAGAGCAUGGGAGAUAUGCUGGAGCUUUGCAGUAGCUGCAGAAGCAAGACAAGAAGAGGGCAAUCUCAGUAACAGCAUGCAGCUUGAUGGAAACACUGCAUGAACACUGCAGGGAUAAAGCAUUCCUCGCCAUAAAAAGGAUGACUACAGAUUUGCCAGCAGAUCAAAUCGCCGCUGAGCUUUCAAAGUGGCCAAAGUGGUGGCAAGUCGGACUCCUCAGGCCAUGCAACCAAUGUGAUGAGUGAAAACACACAACCCUUAGAAAGGAAUGCUUUGGGUAAAAAUCUCUGGUCUUUAAUGCACUCAGAUGGUAAAUGAGAUAACAGAUUUGAUCAGCAGUCAGUGGUUUUAUGGGUAGCGGAUAGUGACGUGAGCAAUGAUGUCAGAUAAGUUCAAAACUCCAUUGAAGCAUGCCACUAAUCAGCAGAGAUGAUUGAAUCUAUGCUUUAAAAUAUAUAAUUGCCCCCAGAUGACCUAAGCUCUCUGCUCGGUAACGGCUGGUGCAGCAGAAGCUGUAGCAGGAGGGAGGCUGCUUAUUGCUAAGGGGGUGUUUUGAGUUCGACAGCUCUGGCAGCUGUCUCUUGAGACUGUUUUACAAAACCUUGGGAUUAAUGAAAAUGCCUCUCAAACAGGAUGUGGUGAUCAGGGAUGUAAAAUACGGACCUGAUUUUUUUUUAGUUUUUUUUAGAGCUGAGAGAAGGCAAAUGGUUUGAAAGCCAUUGGUCCAUACCUGGUAAGGUGACCUGAAGGCAUCUCAUGACAUUUGCCAGGUCUCAAAGGGACAUCCCAUUCUUUCCUGUCCAUGGAGGGUCAUAGCUCCUUUCUGGAGCUGGGCAAGUUCACCAGCAAACCUAGAUCUGUGGUCCCAGUGGUCCAACCUGUCCCAGAGCUGUUGGACUCACUGGUUGAGGUCUGAUUUACAUACGAGGUACAAUUUAUAACAUUUAUAUAACCAAUAACCAUUUACGUAUGUUUUAAUGAGCAUAUUCAGAAAGCCCAUGAGUCCUUACUCUACUAAUUACAAAAUGGUUCGGGUCUAAACCACCCUUUACCAUAAAUCAUUUUCUUGUUCUGGAUUUAAAGUAGGUCAGACCUGACUUUUCAAGCAGUCUAAACAAAUAAAUAGCAUAAUAGUGAAGCGAAACGUGCCACUGAUCUGUAUGCAAACUGGUGAGCCUCAGGCCUUACAAAUGAUUUACUAGAAAUUUCACUGAAGUCUGCAUGGAUGAAUUAUGGAUGGCAAAGAGUGGGAAUGAAGUUUAGCCUUGAAAAGGAGAAAAAGGAUGGAGUGUAACAGAUUUCCUACCAAAUUUAUUCUUUUCUGAAGUUUUAUGACACUGGGACAUAACUCCUGAUAUACUUUUAAAGUGGUGUUUUUCUUCCAAAACAAGAUUGCACUGUAGAAACACUUGUGAUAACCUGUUUUCAUCACAGCUGCCACAACAGCCACGUCAGCUUUUUCAACAGCACAGCACAAUGUUAAGCACCUCAGGUGGGGGAUAUGGGCACGGUGGACAUGGGCUUUUCACAUCACUGGUUUGGUCCUACCUAACCUUUUCCACAUUCUGAUAUGCCCAAGAAGGACCAUCUGCCUCUGUUCAGUCAGAAGAGCCAUCUGCAGAGAAACCAAAUGUUUUAGUGCACAUUUUUAAUUCCUUUAAGUACCUCCUGCUAAAUAAUGAAUGCAUCUCACAGGCACGGCACCUCUUUUCCUGCUCAGCUGUGGCUUUUGUGAGGCAUGAAGACGGGCCCAUCAAGCAGAAGCAUUUGGGCACAUAGAAUCACAGAAUCAUAGAAUGGCUUGGGUUGGAAAGUACCUUAAAGCCCAUCCAAGUCCCAGCCUCGGCCAUGUAUAGGGUUGCCCCCACCAGCUCGGGCUGCACAAGGCCCCAUCCAGCCUGGCCCUGAGCACCUCCAGGGAUGGGCCUCCACAGCUCUGGGCAGCAGUGCCAGCACCUCACUGCCCUCUGAGUGAAGAAUUUCCUCCUUCAGUUGUGCUAACAGCCCCAAGUUGAGGCUUUCAUUGAUUAACGUUGCCUGCUGCUGGGCCGGUCCUUGGUGCUUGGCAGAUUCCUUCAUCUGCCAUUUCUAGGUGUCAUCAUCAAUGACUGAGGUAGAUUUGUAAGGACCUAAGUUCAACCGUUGCAGCACUAAGCCAGGCUUGGAGAUACAGGAGCACAAAUGAAAUGCAUCCUUCCCCAGACUCGUGGCUGGCUAGAAAGGGUUUCUGCUCCAUCAGAGGCCUGAAGGAGGCAGCAGCCAUGGAGAAGCCCUGCAGGAGCAGGCCCUGGGCUUGUGCCAAGCCUGGUUUGCCAGUGAUGGCAACUGGUGAUCUAUUUCACUGUCCUUAUCAUUUUUUCACCAUAUUUACUACUCCUGUCCUUCAGAGGAGGGACAGUGAGAGCGCAGCACGGUUUUCAGCCCAAAGCUUUCAUCUCCAUUACGGCUAUGGGGUACUGCACUGUGGGGCAGCCAGGCUCUGCCUUACUGCUACCACUCAGUGCCUCCCAACGCCCAGCUCCAACCACUACAAUGCUGCCUUCACCACCCAAGAGUAAGGCACAGCCCUGCAUGUUAAAAGCUACGAUCAAAGCCCUUCAGUGCUCUGUGCUUUCCUGUUUGUCCCAGCAAAAGAGCUGCUCUGACCAGAUAGGGAUGGGGAACGUGCUCUCGGUGAGGUGAGAGCCCUUUGAACUGAGGACUGCGUGGCAUAAAAAGCGCAUCUUUGUUUCUGCAGCCCUCCCUCCUCCAAACCCAGGAAGAAAUAACUCUGACAAAAGCACUGCUGCUGGUUGCAAAGAAGCAUCUGGGGCAUGGCUGCCUUAUGCUUAUGGUUUUUCAGGCUGUGCUUCUGUGCCAUUUGAAGCCCUGGAGGAAGGACAGCAGCCACACACAGCCCAGUGUGCUUACAGCCAGCCUGUCUGUCCUUCUGAGCUCCUGUACCCUCUGAGCUCCUGAGGGUGCUGUGGACGAAAACACCCCUUUCUGCUGAGAGAACAGUUCUGGAUCCAAGUUAUUCUGCUUCCAGGCUUUUCAUUACCAGUUUGUAUUUGGCCAGCCAGCACCAAAUCCAGCCCCGCAGCAUCUCUGCUGACCCCGGGGGUGAGUUUGUCCUGAGAUGUUUCUAUCACAAAGCCAUCAAAACCAAUUUCCUCUGAUCUGACUGACUUGAAAUCCCAGUGGAGGCAAUUCAUCUACUGCUGGAUGUGCAAUAUUACAGCAAAUAAACAUCAGAGACAGGAAUGCCUUGCUGGAGAUGAGAAAUCUGGUCCUGUGAUGAGAGGUUAUGAACCUUUCUUAUCUUAUCUGUUGGGUUUUGUAAUGAGAAACCUGGCGGAGCAGCAGCGGCAGCUCAUGCUGAACAGCCUGUUCCCAAGGCCCUUGGGGAGCACAGGGAUUUCCAAUGGGCAGCAGCUGGGAUGGGGACAUUGGUCCCAUGCUGCUGAGGCCAUUUGGUGCAGCACGAUGGGACUCGUGUCUUCCAGGAUCAAAGCCAUGUCACCAGGGCUGGCUGCUGGCACCACAGUGCAUGCCCUCGGCCUUGUUCCCUUCAUCUCAGAGUCAUAGACUCAUAAAGGUUGGAAAAGACCUCUAAGAUCCCCAAGCCCAACCCCAGUCCACCCCACCAUGCCCACAAGUGCCACAUGCCGUGGUUCUGGAACACCUCCAGGGACGGCAACCCCACCACUCCCUGGGCAGCCUGUGCCAUUGCAGUACUGCUCUUCUGGAGAAGAAAUUGUUCCUAAUACCCAACCUGAAAUCUUCUGCUCAUACUCUCCUUAACUUGUCAGAAUACCGUGGCCCCUCUGAGGUGCCCAUGUCGAGCACACAGGAUAUGGAGCUCAUCUUCACACGAUGAGAGACCCCAGACAAGAAGGAUAUAAGUGGUUCUAUGACUGUCUUCUACCUCUUCUUUCUGCCGAUGGUAGCUGCUGCUCUGCUAUAUGGCUGCUGAGGAAGCUAACCCACAGAGAUGAACCAAUUUGGUAAAAAUAAGAAGAAAACUGGUGGCAGAAGCAGGACGGUCCCUGGUCCCCUGGCACCACACCGCUUUGAUGGCAGCUGUUGGUACAGCAGCAAGGAGGAAUUGUGGGGGCUUAAGUGAUUUAACUUCAAGAGCACAGCAGCAAGAGUGAAAUCCACUUAUACAGGCUAAUUGAUAGUGAAUGAUUCCUUAAUUAGAAAUUAAGACCUGUCCCCUAACUUAAGAGGAGGAACAGGACCAACGUGCCAAUGAGCUGAGGGGUAUAUUUGUGACUGUGGAUUUUCCUUUGGAGAUGCUCUCAUCCAUUAACUUUUCAUGACAUAAAUUUGUUUGCCUUAAUAUAUCCAGUUAGAAGCAUUUUCAGAUGCAUUAUUUAAGGCCUGAAAAUAAAUACUGGAUGCUCAGGGUGUGCUUUGUGAAAGCUCAGCGCGCCUUGCCUUCUCACUCAAUUAUUGAUUGUGUUUUCCACUGCAUUUGAGACGCUCCAGCGUGCACAGGGGAACAUCCUGCCUUGUUUACUUGCUCAUUCUAUUUCUCAAAGUCUCAAGAAACUCAUUCGGCGAUGGAUUUGGGGCUUCUAUCCCCACUCUGUAUUUCACCUGUGUCACAGCAGAGAAUUUAUUUCAGAUGCUGCAUCAGCGAGCCCCAGCCUCAGGAAUUUCUCACCACAGGUACUGAUUGGGCAACAGAAUGAGAUCCACAUGUUAUUAGGAAGGGAGAUACCAGUGAUGAUGCAUUUCCACCACCAAUGGCAAAGGUGAGCGUUGCACGCUUGCUGGCUGGAUGAGCACAGGAAAGGUACCGCCACCCCUGCAGCAUCCGAGGUUGACUACAAGGCCUAGCAGAUGCUUUUCUCACAUUAGGGACUUUUGUGUCUCUCUCUGCGUGGGCUUUCUGAUGUUUAAUAAGGCAUGAGCUUCUCUUGCAUUUUUUCUUUCCUCGCUGAGGCAUCUGUGGGAUCUGUCUUCUCAAGGCAGAUGUCAUUUGAUAUAAAUCGUUGCCAGGAUAGACAUAUCCUUGGUAUUGCCACACUUGUGUUGGGUUUGAUUGGCAUUAGCCUGGAGGCUCCUCAGGGAGGACAGUAGCCUGCCAGCCAGCUCGGUCCUCACCUCCUGCAGGGGAUAGAGGAGUGGUGAAAGCUUGGGGAGGUUGAAUAGAGGCAAGACGUGAGAGCCGAGUCAGUCAGAUUUGAGGAGGGGAAUGCAUUUGCACAAACAUCCCAUCUGGAAGGCUGCAAAUUGGCAGGUAUAUCUGGGGAAUGUUUGGGACCAUUUGGGGAAUGGUCCCUGGGCUACCAGGCUCCUGGCUCCUGGGAGACACCAGUGCCCAAGAAGUGCUCGCCCUCAGCUUGCUGUCAGGAGGUCUGCCUAAAAAUUGCUGCUUGGCUGUCUUGCUUUGCAGCUGAGACUCGACACAAAUGGCACAGCUAUGGGAAAGGGUUCUGCUCCUCAUGAAAUGCUUUUUCCCAUCAAAAGCUGCUUUGACAGAUGUUUUUUGAGCAAUGGGAUGCUGCAGCAUUGCCCGAGACAGGUCUGAGUAAGGGAUGAGUGUUGUCAGAGGCGAAAGUAAUGCAGAACCUGUUUCAUUUGUGUGGCACCGGGGAAUUUCACAUCCCAGCUUCUUCCAGCGUGGCAAAUUGGAGCCACAGAGCUGGAAAAUGCAGCGGGCUUGCAGCCCUAAUUAAUAUUGCAAACAAUCUGGGAACGAGACGCCAUCAGACAGGCUCCAGAUAAGUCCUUAACCUGGCCGCCAGCACCUUUGCAAAACCCUGGGCUAAAGCCAGUGGGAAAUUCACCACUGACUUCAAACAGACCCGCGUUGCACCCAAAGGCCUCCUCCUCCAGCCUGCUGCUCCUGUGCCAUGCCAGGUGGGCACAGGGGGCACGCAGGAAGGGUCCUGCCAUAGGGGGACCACAUGCCAUCUUUGGGAUGCUCUUUGGGAUGCAACCAGCACGUCCCAUCUGCAUCAUAUCUGUCUGCUUUAGUAACCCUCAGGAUCAACCUGGGAUGCCUGAGACCCGGCAUUGCUUCGCCAUAGAAAAGAAAUGCAAAUUGUGGACUCAUAAAAGAGGGAAGAAAGAAAAAUGUAAACCCGAGUGCUUCCUGUUCUCUUUUUCAUGCUUACAAGAAAGCAAUUCAGGCUUGGCGCUUGCAUUUAUUAAACAAAAAAUUCUUGUGACUUCAUUUCUUUCCAGAGCAGUCAACCAAACUGCUUGAUAUGCCGUGACCUUGAAACAUAAUGAAGCAUUGAAAAGCAAAUCCGGUGGUACAGAAAGGAAGUGUUUUACCAUGCAAGAGGAGGUACUGAGGUCCAAGUGAGAAACAACUGAGCAGUUAUCUCUGAUGGCUUAAAUCUCAUCCAGGCAGGGCUUGCACAAGACAACCUUUGUUAGGAGUGCUGUACUCUGGGCAAAGUGUGGAGAGCUCUGCUGAGGAGCACCUGGCAUUUGGUGUGCAUCUGACAUUUAGCAUCGUUUUGCAAUAGUCUAAUUCAUCACGUUACCCUUUGCCCUUGUUAGUGUGUUAUAACCCCAAGGACAUGGCUCUGCCUGGUGGCAGUGACCAGUGCCAAACACCAUCUGAUCUGGCCACCACUGCAGUGUCCUUGGGGUAUGGGAACAGAGAAUGUCCUGCACAGGCAAGAGAGGUUUGCAUGUGUUUGUACCUCCCUGGGGAGGGACCCUGCAUCUCUGCCUUGGAGAUGGUAGGAGAAAACAUCUCUUGAUGGAUUUGCGUUAAUUGCUAAUUAAUUGUUAAUUACUGCACAGAGUAUCUGCGCAGCUCUGACAUCCAGAAGAUGCUAUACAAUGCAAAAUCAGAUCUCCAGCAUUUCAUAUUGGGUAAGCAGCCACAUACCCUAAAAUACAGUCAAGGUCGCAAAUUGUGUUGCUCUGCUAGAUGGGAACAGUGUGACACAGCUGUGGUAAAGUGAUGGUGAAGGUUUUGGCCUGAGCAAAACUGCCCAGGACAAAGUGCUAACUGUCGUGGGCUGGAUGCUGUGUGGUAGAGAGGACCCUGGGCUGCAGGUAGUAACAGGAGGUUGAGAAGCUGGGGGAUGCCACAGGGAUGCGCAGCUUUGGCACCCAGCGUUAGCUUUGGGAAGAGAAUGCAGUCAUAAAUCAUCCUCACAUGUCCCUGACAGCUGCUGUGACACUGCUAAGUGGGCAGGUGCUUGGACAGGCCUUGCUCUCAUUACUGUGUGAUUUAUGGGCCUGAUCUCUCCUGAAUUUCUGGACUAAUUCCUCACUCCUCUUCGCACGCACAUCUAAAGGCCUAGGACUGCCAUUUCUCCUGUAUCUCUUGACACCUAAGCCCUCUGCAAGGCAGACAGCAGGGAGCCAAAGGGGUUCACAGUUUUAUCCUCUACUUGCACCUGGUUUCCCUGGGAUGAAUUUGCAGAAAAUGAGGUUUAUAUCAGGUGCAUUCAUCCCUUGGGUUCAAAUCUGAAUUCCCAUGGGGGAGACAGGUGAACUCAACAGCCAGCCUUCAGGCCAGAACGUAUCCAGAGGCAGCUGGGGCUCAAGGGGCUGGGAAGGAUGACAUGAGCUGGUGAUGCUAGCUGGCUGUCACGCUGCUUGCAGUGAGGUGAAAAUGACUGUGGGCAGCAGAUCUGGCAGAUCAUCACAUUCAUUGGUGCUGAUGAUGGGAAACAGCUGUUCCUAGCAGAAGUCGGUGCAAUCACCGUUUCAAUUAACCAUAUUGAUUAAUACAGCAGCUCAGCAAACAUCCUAGAUGAGGCUGCCUGCCACCAAAGACGUGAAAUUACCGUGCACCACUCUGGCUCAAUGAGGCUGAAACAGGCACCUGUUUUAUCGUGCUACUACGUGAGAGGUGGAAAAGGUCUAGCAGGGAUUGGAAACGAGUAGACGACAACAUGUUGCUCCCCACGUCUCUGACCCAGAGAAGAUGCGAUGCUCUUUAGAUGUACAGGAGGAAUUAGGUCGAUAGGAGAAAGGAUGGCUUUGAGCCUCCAAGGGACACAGAGGGCAUCCUGAAGUCCUCCUUAGUUGUAAAGCAGGGAUUUCCCAUUGGCUGGGCACUUUUUCCCUAAAGAUGAUAAAGCAGACGCACCUCAGUGGUUAGCUGUAGAUAGAGCUGUCACUGAGCCGUGGCUUUUUUUGCAGCUUCCGUCAUUCUGUUGCCAGGAGAAUAUCCAUCAUGAACAAAAGCUAUUUUGUUUUGUGCAGUUGGACUCAGGGAGGGGGAGAAAGUCUGCACAGGAAACGGCGGCAUUAACUUGGAGGUUGCCACCUUGCCAUUGGGUUUGGCCUUACCAAUGGGUUUGGCCAGUUGGGGCUGGGGCAAUGAACAGGAAUUACAAGGGACUGCCUGGCUCAGAGUGGAAGGAUGAGGAAAUCUGACAAGGAAAAGUAUGCUGCUUGCUGGAAAUGGGUGAUUAACACCAAAGGGUUUGCACAGCAGAGGCUAGGGAGCGCCUGCGGCACAAGGCUGGGCUUCCCUUAUCUCCCACCUCUUUGCUUUCUGUUGUUCAUUCAUCCCAGCAGCCAAAGGAUUUAAAGGCACACAGUAGGCCCUGUCAUUUGCUUUGUAUACUUCCUCACACAGCUUAAAAAAGUAAGCUCUGUUAUUAGUAGGAAGCGAUCACCACCUGGUUGGGUGUUCACCUUCACCCCACAAACACGGGCCAAUUGCAGGGGCUGGGAAGGGGAGCAGAAAGCCACAGAAAUGCAGGCCUAUGAGCCCUCCAUGCUUCCCUCCCAGAUUUACUAAGACAGGGGCACACUUUGGUGGGUAAUUGGUUUUGAAAUGAGAUCAGGCCUGCAGGAAAGUCAUACAUACAAAAUAAAUCUCAUCUGAACCAUUCACCGAGUUUAUACCAGCUGUAAAUCAGAGUCCCCUGACUGACCGAACAGCAUUCAGACACCUGUAAGCACAUGCUGUGUUGGGGAUGCAAAAGCUAAGGAGCCCUGCUCACCUGGCAGCCAGCAACAGCCUGCCUCCCAUGGCCAUAGGAAAAGAUCCAUUUUGCUACAUCACAGUCCAAGAGGGACAUCUGAACCUGCCAGCUGCUAAGGCUUCCUAUUGCCUACCUACAUCAUCACUCAUCAGUGUGUCUUUAAUUUGCAGCGAGGGAGUCAUUGGCCUGGAAGAGCCCACCCCAGGGAAGUUGCUGGGCUCGCCACACUAACAGAGCACUAUAAGGCAUAGCUUGGAAGCAAAGCACUCCCUUGCACAGCUCCAGGAAGCAAUCAAUAGCAUUGCACAGGGAGCAUGAUUUGCUGGACAACUAUCAACGUUCACAAAUAAUGGAAAACAAGCUCUCUCCAACACGCUCCAGUGCAGAGCAACAGGAUGCUGCAAAUGGGGUGGUAGCAAGGAGCCAGGAUUGCAUGGUGAGCUUGGAGCUUGGGUUGGUGAGCGCUCAGCAUGCCCUCCCCUCUGCAAGGUAUUGGUGGCAUUGGGUCAGCAAGCCACCACUUCCUUCCAGGAGCUUCCUUCUGCCAGGGAUUUCCAGCCCAGCUGCUGCUGGCACUGAGGGGUUCACCCCCUAUCUGCAAUUUCAAAGGCAGCAAUUGAGCAAAGGUGAGCCCUUCUCUUCCCAAAAGAGGCAGAUGCACUCUCGUAUCUGAGUCAUGGGGAUGUUAUACUGGAUCAGCCCUUCUGUGCACUGCUUAGCCAAAAUGAGACGACGUCCCACUCUGCCAGGUUUUCUGUAAGUGCUCGAGAAAAAAAAACAAAAAAAACCAUGGGUAAAUGGACAGAGAAAGUCUUAUAUGAGCUUUAGCAUGGAAUUCAUCCUAGAUUAUUUCCAGCCCAAUAUAAGAGCCUGAGCUCAUUAGGGCGUCCUGUUCGGGUCUAAUUGCUCAUCACUACAGCUCCCUGAUAGGGUAAGUGUGAAUGGCACAUUUCUAAAGGUGCGACAGCUCCACCACCAGGCAGGGAGCUCCAGUGUGCUCAGGCUGGACCCCAGCUGGAUGAAUGCCCAGGUUGGAUGGGGCUCUUGGCAACCUGAUCUAGUGGAUGGCAACCCUACCCAAGGCAGGGGCUGGAACUGGGUGGGCUUUAAGGCCCCUUCCAACCCAAGCCAUUCUAUGAUUCUCUGAUUCUCUAAUUCCACAUGUCUGUGGUUCUAUGAUUCUAUGCUUGGGGGCACAGUGUUGGUAGGUGGGAGAAGAGCAACUGAUGGCAUCUGCCUGGACUCAUAGAAAGCUUUCCAAACUGUCCUACACAACAUCCUUGUCUCUAAAUUGGAGAGAUCUGGAUUUGAUGGAUGGACUAUUUGGUGGAUAAAGAAUUGGCCAGAUGGUUGCAUUCAAAAGGUUGUGGUCAACACCUUGGUGUCCAGGUGGGCACCAGUGAUGAAUGGUGCUUCUCAGGGUUUGGUAUUGAGACAGGCUUGAGGAGUGGGCCCAUGUGAACCUCAUGACAUUCAACAAGGCCGAGUUCAAGGUCCUGCACCUGGCAUGGGGCAAUCCCAAAUGGACACAGGCUGUGCAACGAUCAGAUUGAGAGCAGCCUUGAGGAGAAAGACUUGGGGGUUCUGGUGUGCUCGCAGGCUGGAGGGCCUACGGUAUCCUGGGUGCAUCAGCAGAGGUGUAGCAGCAGGGAGAAGGAGGGGAUCGUCCCCCUCUGCUCUGCCCUUGUAAGGCCCCAUCUGGAGUACUGUGUCCAAGCAUGGGGUCCCCAAUGCAGGAGGGAUGUGAAGCUGUUGGAGUGGAUCCAGAGGAGGGCCAUGAAGAUGAUCAGAGGGAUGAAGCACCUCUCCUAUGAAGACAGGCUGAGGGAGCUGGGCUUAUUCAGCCUGGAGAAGAGAAAGCUCUGAGGAGACCUCAUUGUGGCCUUCCAGUACUUGGAGGGGGCCUGCAGGAAAGCUGAGGGGGAACUCUUUGUCAGGGGGUGUAGGAGUAGGACAAGGGGUGUUGGUUUUAAACUAUAAGAGGGUGGGUUUAGAUCAAACGUAACGCUCAGCUGGACUUUCUCCAUCGGCAGUGUGUCCAAUGUGCAGUCCUCAGAGAGGGGAUGGGCAGCAUCUAAUCAUGCAUUUUCAUGUAAACAGACAGUUCUAAGUGCGUUGAAGUCUAACAAACACUUUACCGCCUGGAGAUGUGGGUUCACCACAGAAAGAUCACGGGGCUGCUGAGUGAUGCACGUCCGCCUCCACCAUCCCAGAAUCCAGCUCUUCUGAAUGAGCACUUUUGCCCCCAGAGGCAUCUUUUAUCUCUGGCCUGAGAUGAUCCAGAGGUCUCCACAGCCACUUCUCAGGGUUCACAAAUAAUUCAGCUAUUCAGGAAAUCACUAAAACGAGCGCGAAUGAAUGGAGAGCUCGGAAGGGAGACAGAAUGGGUAAAUUCAGGCUUUUGGGGACUGAAGAGGACAGUGUCAUCUACCCCUGACACAGACUGACUCGCUUAAGGAGCGGCUGAAAAGCAGAGUGAUAAAUGGUGUGAAACACAGCAACUGUGAGACCCUGCAGCAGCAGGUGCCCGCUGAAAGGUUCCCACCAGCAAGUGAGAUCAAACUGCCCCACUGCAACCAGAGAACCGGGCUGUCCGGUUCUGGGGAGCUAUGCAUUGAUAAACCCCAGCCUCCCAAAGCCAUGCGAGAGAAAUGAGCUCCCGAGGUCACUUUGAAGUGGUUUUGCAGCUCAUUGGGUUCACUGCCAAAAUGCGUCCUGGAAGCGCGGGUGCAGGAGGAGCCAAGCCCAGG